rnacentral:rRNA from 1 species
CCCUUAGAUGUUCUGGGCCGCACGCGCGCUACACUGAUGCAUUCAACGAGUUUCUUCCUGGUCCGAGAGGAAUGGGUAACCUUUUGAAAGUGCAUCGUGAUAGGGAUAGACUAUUGCAAUUAUUGGUCUUCAACGAGGAAUUCCUAGUAGACGUAGUUCAUCAGACUGCAUCGAUUACGUCCCUGCCCUUUGUACACACCGCCCGUCGCUCCUACCGAUUGAAUGCUCAGGUGAGCCAUUCGGACUUUUAUCAUGCUGGUUUCCAGUUUUGAUGAAGGAAAGUCUUGCGAACCUUAUCAUUUAGAGGAAGGAGAAGUCGUAACA